UUAAUGAUAUUGCGAUAUGUAGCUUAAUGCAAUUGAUAUAUAAUUCAUUGUAAAUUUGGAAGAAUAUCAGAUAAACGAGAAAGGUGAAACCAUUCCCUAUACAAGCUGUUAUACCCCUACAAGUACUUUGCAACAAUCCUCUCCCGUCAACAACAAAUAAACAAAAAAAAAAAAAAAAGGAAGCUUAAAUGUUGAAAUACGAUUACUCUACUUUUACAAUUACAUCACGUUCUUUGUGCUAGCUUGUUGUUCAUAAACAUAACAUAUAUUAAAAUAUAUAUAUACGAAUUCGUCUUUUCCUCUCCACGCUUCUUAUUCGUCCUUUUCGUUACUUUCUCUCAUUUCAACAUCUCCUUCCUCCUCAACUUCGCCAUCAGAACCUUCUUGUGUUAUGUGCGAAAUCACAAUCACCCCUUCAUUCACCAAACGGUCGUACAACGCAUGCAAAAAUAAUUCAGCUCCACUAGCACUUUGCACUUGCUCUAAACUCAAGUUGCAAAUUUCACGCAACGACUCUGACUCGGGUUUUGCAACUGCCUCCAUUAAACUCGACAAGUGCUUAAAAAAAUCUCGAUUUUCGCUCAACUCUGCACGACCGCUGAUGCGCAAAAGGUCGGAAGGAGAAUGUGGGAAAAUCUUGGGAUACACUCUAGGAUGUGUAAUCACACGAUGAGAUUCUCUGUCAAUGGAGAAAGGCUCGACAAACGUCGUUUCAUUCAAAAUCAAGGGCUGAAGUUGCUCUAAUAAUUCCAACGUACGUGAAUGAGUAUAAUCGAUGUUUUCAUCCAAAGGGGAGGCCGUUGCCUCCUCGUGAUCUUCGCCAUUCUCACCAGCUGUAGCAUGUGGUCCAUUCAAAUUCGACUCACUUGACGCACGAUACAUGUUUGCUGACUCGUUAACGUUAGGAAAUCUUGGCAGGAUAGCCGGUGCUUCGGCUGUAGGUGAUAAAACUUCCCAGUUAAAGUCUUGCAGAGCAUCUUGGCUUGCUGCACCAAACAGUUGCAGCAGUUGGCUGGUUGAUGAAUCAUCCGUACCUCUACUGCUAGAAUUAUUAUGUGAGUUGAUAGUCCGAGUCGUAUUCACAGGGUCAGCAAUUAAUUGAUUGAUUAAGGAAGCUGUUUCCUUGUCUUUUUCAUCACUAUACUCCUGCAUCCAGUAAAAAUGAAUCUGCGAAGAGGAUUUAAAUUUUAGUGCAUAUACGCGUCCCGUGGUACAUUCAUCAAUUUUGAUAAACUCUGCUUCUUCUGGAAAUAUGAUGUAGUCCUUCAUUAUAUGUUAGUAAACAUAAACCAAAUUAAAAAAAAAAAAACGCAAAAGUAAAUUUAUAUAUAUAAAUAGGUAUACUUUGCAAUUGAUUUAAAUUGUCUUCAUACAUCUUCUACUUCUCUAGAAACCCUGGCCCUUUCUUUCCAAUAGAAAUGCAAUAAUUCAUCAGAAGCCAUUUGCAUAUAGAUAACUCUAAACAAAUGUCAGUAUUAAAAAUCAGAUCUUUUAACUUUAUAAACAGAAAACAAUUCCACAAAACCCAACAG